rnacentral:ncRNA from 1 species
CGCAAAGAUAAAAACACAGUCCGGUUGGUAGUCCGGGCGCAGCAAACGCUGUCAGUAACCUGCCUCCUUGGUUGUCCAUUCUUUGUGAGA